rnacentral:miRNA from 1 species
UUGUCAGCUUGGGGAAGCUCUU